rnacentral:sRNA from 1 species
GGGGAAUCGAGUAUCACUCCCCACCCCUGUGACAUACCUAUACGUUGCCUCGGCGGAUCAGCCCGCGCCCCGUAAAAAGGGACGGCCCGCCCGAGGACCCCUAAACUCUGUUUUUAGUGGAACUUCUGAGUAAAACAAACAAAUAAAUCAAAACUUUCAACAACGGAUCUCUUGGUUCUGGCAUCGAUGAAGAACGCAGCAAAAUGCGAUAAGUAAUGUGAAUUGCAGAAUUCAGUGAAUCAUCGAAUCUUUGAACGCACAUUGCGCCCGCCAGUAUUCUGGCGGGCAUGCCUGUCCGAGCGUCAUUUCAACCCUCAAGCUCAGCUUGGUGUUGGGACUCGCGGUAACCCGCGUUCCCCAAAUCGAUUGGCGGUCACGUCGAGCUUCCAUAGCGUAGUAAUCAUACACCUCGUUACUGGUAAUCGUCGCGGCCACGCCGUAAAACCCCAACUUCUGAAUGUUGACCUCGGAUCAGGUAGGAAUACCCGCUGAACUUAAGCAUAUCAUAAACCCGGAAGGAAAAGGUGGAAG